UACGAAGGGGGCUAGCGUUGCUCGGAAUCACUGGGCGUAAAGCGCACGUAGGCGGAUUGUUAAGUCAGGGGUGAAAUCCUGGAGCUCAACCCCAGAACUGCCUUUGAUACUGGCGAUCUCGAGUCCGGGAGAGGUGAGUGGAACUGCGAGUGUAGAGGUGAAAUUCGUAGAUAUUCGCAAGAACACCAGUGGCGAAGGCGGCUCACUGGCCCGGUACUGACGCUGAGGCACGAAAGCUAGGGGAGCAAACGGG
rnacentral:rRNA from 1 species